CGAAAGCGAAACAGGAAGUAAUGUCUGUUAAGUCGUUCGUUUUCUGGUUAUGGAAAAGAAGAGGAUAAAAUGGACUGAUUGAUACAGAGAUCCAGGAGGUACUGAAAAAGGGACAAUGCUUCGACUGAAUGUGUCAUCCAUGUACCAGUAUAGACCUGUUAAUGAGGCAUAUCCAAUAAUUCUUACACUCAUGAAGAGUGCGGCAACUCCCAAGUAGUUAAGGAUGGCACGCAUUUUAAAUCAGAUCCUCACUUUUAGGAUGUUUUCCAUGUUCUUGUGAAAAGUGUUUUACAUGGCACCAUUCAGCUACAAAUACUUUGCCGGUGGAACUGUGACAUCAAUCAAC